GUUAAAAAGCUCGUAGUUGGAUCUCGGCAGGUAGGGGGCGGUUCGUUUCUGACGGCACUGCCCCAUUUACCUGUGUUUUUGACGGAGGUCUCAAGGUGGCUUUAAUCGGCUGUCUUGGUACGCCGUCAGGUUUACUUUGAAAAAAUUAGAGUGCUCAAAGCAGGCUACAAAGCUUGAAUAUUUGUGCAUGGAAUAAUGGAAUAGGAAGUCGUUUCUAUUUUUUUUGGUUUUCGGAAAUUGACUUAAUGAUUAAUAGGGACAGCCGGGGGCAUUAGUACUCAGACGACAGAGGUGAAAUUCUUGGACCGUUUGAGGACUAACUACUGCGAAAGCAUUUGCCAAGAGUGUUUUCAUUAAUCAAGAACGAAAGUUAGAGGUUCGAAGGCGAUCAGAUACCGCCCUAGUUCUAACCAUAAACGAUGCUGACUAGCGAUCCGUAGCUGUUUUCUAUGUAGGCUCUACGGGAAGCUUCCGGGAAACCAAAGUUUUUGAGUUCCGGGGGAAGUAUGGUUGCAAAGCUGAAACUUAAAGGAAUUGACGGAAGGGCACCACCAGGAGUGGAGCCUGCGGCUUAAUUUGACUCAACACGGGAAAUCUCACCAGGCCCGGACACUGGAAGGAUUGACAGAUUGAGAGCUCUUUCUCGAUUU
rnacentral:rRNA from 1 species